ACUAAGCGUACACGGUGGAUGCCCUGGCAGUCAGAGGCGAUGAAGGACGUGCUAAUCUGCGAUAAGCGUCGGUAAGGUGAUAUGAACCGUUAUAACCGGCGAUUUCCGAAUGGGGAAACCCAGUGUGUUUCGACACACUAUCAUUAACUGAAUCCAUAGGUUAAUGAGGCGAACCGGGGGAACUGAAACAUCUAAGUACCCCGAGGAAAAGAAAUCAACCGAGAUUCCCCCAGUAGCGGCGAGCGAACGGGGAGCAGCCCAGAGCCUGAAUCAGUGUGUGUGUUAGUGGAAGCGUCUGGAAAGGCGCGCGAUACAGGGUGACAGCCCCGUACACAAAAAUGCACAUAUUGUGAGCUCGAUGAGUAGGGCGGGACACGUGGUAUCCUGUCUGAAUAUGGGGGGACCAUCCUCCAAGGCUAAAUACUCCUGACUGACCGAUAGUGAACCAGUACCGUGAGGGAAAGGCGAAAAGAACCCCGGCGAGGGGAGUGAAAAAGAACCUGAAACCGUGUACGUACAAGCAGUGGGAGCCUCUUUAUGGGGUGACUGCGUACCUUUUGUAUAAUGGGUCAGCGACUUAUAUUCUGUAGCAAGGUUAACCGAAUAGGGGAGCCGAAGGGAAACCGAGUCUUAACUGGGCGUUAAGUUGCAGGGUAUAGACCCGAAACCCGGUGAUCUAGCCAUGGGCAGGUUGAAGGUUGGGUAACACUAACUGGAGGACCGAACCGACUAAUGUUGAAAAAUUAGCGGAUGACUUGUGGCUGGGGGUGAAAGGCCAAUCAAACCGGGAGAUAGCUGGUUCUCCCCGAAAGCUAUUUAGGUAGCGCCUCGUGAACUCAUCUCGGGGGGUAGAGCACUGUUUCGGCAAGGGGGUCAUCCCGACUUACCAACCCGAUGCAAACUGCGAAUACCGGAGAAUGUUAUCACGGGAGACACACGGCGGGUGCUAACGUCCGUCGUGAAGAGGGAAACAACCCAGACCGCCAGCUAAGGUCCCAAAGUCAUGGUUAAGUGGGAAACGAUGUGGGAAGGCCCAGACAGCCAGGAUGUUGGCUUAGAAGCAGCCAUCAUUUAAAGAAAGCGUAAUAGCUCACUGGUCGAGUCGGCCUGCGCGGAAAGAUGUAACGGGGCUAAACCAUGCACCGAAGCUGCGGCAGCGACACUAUGUGUUGUUGGGUAGGGGAGCGUUCUGUAAGCCUGUGAAGGUGUACUGUGAGGUAUGCUGGAGGUAUCAGAAGUGCGAAUGCUGACAUAAGUAACGAUAAAGCGGGUGAAAAGCCCGCUCGCCGGAAGACCAAGGGUUCCUGUCCAACGUUAAUCGGGGCAGGGUGAGUCGACCCCUAAGGCGAGGCCGAAAGGCGUAGUCGAUGGGAAACAGGUUAAUAUUCCUGUACUUGGUGUUACUGCGAAGGGGGGACGGAGAAGGCUAUGUUGGCCGGGCGACGGUUGUCCCGGUUUAAGCGUGUAGGCUGGUUUUCCAGGCAAAUCCGGAAAAUCAAGGCUGAGGUGUGAUGACGAGGCACUACGGUGCUGAAGCAACAAAUGCCCUGCUUCCAGGAAAAGCCUCUAAGCAUCAGGUAACAUCAAAUCGUACCCCAAACCGACACAGGUGGUCAGGUAGAGAAUACCAAGGCGCUUGAGAGAACUCCGGGUGAAGGAACUAGGCAAAAUGGUGCCGUAACUUCGGGAGAAGGCACGCUGAUAUGUAGGUGAAGUCCCUCGCGGAUGGAGCUGAAAUCAGUCGAAGAUACCAGCUGGCUGCAACUGUUUAUUAAAAACACAGCACUGUGCAAACACGAAAGUGGACGUAUACGGUGUGACGCCUGCCCGGUGCCGGAAGGUUAAUUGAUGGGGUUAGCGCAAGCGAAGCUCUUGAUCGAAGCCCCGGUAAACGGCGGCCGUAACUAUAACGGUCCUAAGGUAGCGAAAUUCCUUGUCGGGUAAGUUCCGACCUGCACGAAUGGCGUAAUGAUGGCCAGGCUGUCUCCACCCGAGACUCAGUGAAAUUGAACUCGCUGUGAAGAUGCAGUGUACCCGCGGCAAGACGGAAAGACCCCGUGAACCUUUACUAUAGCUUGACACUGAACAUUGAGCCUUGAUGUGUAGGAUAGGUGGGAGGCUUAGAAGUGUGGACGCCAGUCUGCAUGGAGCCGACCUUGAAAUACCACCCUUUAAUGUUUGAUGUUCUAACGUUGACCCGUAAUCCGGGUUGCGGACAGUGUCUGGUGGGUAGUUUGACUGGGGCGGUCUCCUCCUAAAGAGUAACGGAGGAGCACGAAGGUUGGCUAAUCCUGGUCGGACAUCAGGAGGUUAGUGCAAUGGCAUAAGCCAGCUUGACUGCGAGCGUGACGGCGCGAGCAGGUGCGAAAGCAGGUCAUAGUGAUCCGGUGGUUCUGAAUGGAAGGGCCAUCGCUCAACGGAUAAAAGGUACUCCGGGGAUAACAGGCUGAUACCGCCCAAGAGUUCAUAUCGACGGCGGUGUUUGGCACCUCGAUGUCGGCUCAUCACAUCCUGGGGCUGAAGUAGGUCCCAAGGGUAUGGCUGUUCGCCAUUUAAAGUGGUACGCGAGCUGGGUUUAGAACGUCGUGAGACAGUUCGGUCCCUAUCUGCCGUGGGCGCUGGAGAACUGAGGGGGGCUGCUCCUAGUACGAGAGGACCGGAGUGGACGCAUCACUGGUGUUCGGGUUGUCAUGCCAAUGGCACUGCCCGGGUAGCUAAAUGCGGAAGAGAUAAGUGCUGAAAGCAUCUAAGCACGAAACUUGCCCCGAGAUGAGUUCUCCCUGACUCCUUGAGAGUCCUGGAAGGAACGUUGAAGACGACGACGUUGAUAGGCCGGGUGUGUAAGCGCAGCGAUGCGUUGAGCUAACCGGUACUAAUGAACCGUGAGGCUUAACC
rnacentral:rRNA from 1 species